CUAGAUCGGCCAUAUUGAAAUCGUUCGGCAGACAGGUUGCUUCGUAACAUCGGCGUCCUCUCAAUGUAAGACCCCGAAAUAUUGUACGUCGGAGCCGAGCUUAAGAAGGAAAUACUUAAGAGGGCCUUUAUAUAAUCCAUCACUGCUGAUCGUUCAUCCUUUUUCAUCUUACAUCAUUCAAGAGCUGACGAAUCGUGGUAGGAUCAACGAGGACUAAAAACCUCGAGAUAUUCUACACUCUGGUGGGACUUAAGAAGGAGGAAGCGAUGCAUUUUUCUCAUUCAUCCUGUUCCAAGCUUGCUCCGACGAAUCGUGAUAGUAUCCGUAGCAACACAAAACAUCAUUGCAAUCGUGCGCGAAGCAAUGAAGAAAUCGUGUUUAUUAUCCAGAAAUGAGAAGAGGAGUGUAUUAGAGUCAGUGUUUGUUUCAACGCGUCCCGCGAUUCAUACCAAG